UGCCAUGUAUAGAUUGCAGCGCAGCAGACCACUAAGGCUAGGCUCCUAAGCUUGCUAAUUUGGGCGUCUGGAACCUUAAGAAUAAAGGACAGGCGUACUCGGGCCGAGAUCAACAGGCACGGUCGUGAUGGGCAUGUACGAGUGCCGCGGCCCACUGGACGGACAAGGGACCAGGCUGGAAGUUGUUUUUCAUAUUUGUUUACUUGUCAAAUAGUCCCACCUUGCUAUUUUACAUUAAUUUUUACCAGUUUAUAUACAAUUUUUAGGUUGUCAGGCAUCAAGAAGCUGCUUUGGAAAUUAAGCAAAGAAAUAAAGAAAGGAAAUAGACAUUCUUUGCAUGAGAAAUAAAGAAGGAAGAUGGUAAUUAUGUGGAGCCGGCAAGAAAGGCCUAGCAAAAAAGGAAAAAAUAAUUGCAUGAGAAAUAAAGAAGGAAGGAGAAAGAGAGAGGAAGGAAAUGGACGGUAAUUAUGUGGGCAUCAUGAUAUAAGGAAAGAAAGAGAA